rnacentral:rRNA from 1 species
GAUGAACGCUAGCGGCAGGCUUAAUACAUGCAAGUUGAGGGGCAGCAUGAUAUACGCGAGUAUAUUGAUGGCGACCGGCGGACGGGUGAGUAAUAGGUAGGAGACCUACCUCAUACAGGGGGAUAGCAUAGAGAAAUCUGUGGUAAUACCCCAUGAGGUUAUAUGAAUAGAGGCAUAUAAUCAAAGCAUAAGCGAUUAUGCGGUAUGAGAGGGGCCUACUGACCAUUAGCUAGUUGGUGAGGUAAGGGCUCACCAAGGCGAAGAUGGUUAGGGGUUUUGAGAGAGAGACCCCCCACAUUGGAACUGAGAGACGGUCCAGACUCCUACGGGAGGCAGCAGUAGGGAAUAUUGGGCAAUGGGCGAAAGCCUGACCCAGCCAUGCCGCGUGGAGGAAGAAGUCCUGGGAUGUAACUUACUGAACUAGCCGAAUAAAGGGCCGUAGUGGACACACAGGAAGAAGAAAGUAAGGACGUAGGAAAAGUACCGGACUAACUACGUACG